rnacentral:tRNA from 1 species
GGGCCUAUGAUGUAACCUGGAUAGCAUACUUGGCUUCGGACCAAGAUAUAGGGGUUCAAAUCCUCUUAGGCCCA